GCCAGGCAGAGGGGGAAGGCUGCAGAGCCGCUGUCCCAGCUGGAUGGGCCCACUCCCCGCCUCAGGCCUCAGUUUCCCCAUUGAGCAAACAGGGAUAAUCACUCCCUCCUCGCUCACCACCUGCACCCCUCCCCCACACAGCAGAUAACAGAUGGGAGCAUUCUGGAGACUCUGGACCAUGAAAGCCCGAGGCAUGGGAGGUGACAACGCUGAGGUCGGCCAAAGGCAGAGAAAACCUGCAGGCGGUGGGGGUGGGGGUGGGGAAUGGGUUCAAGUCCCAGCUCUGUCCUGACCACAGCUUGGGCACAUGGCAGCCCUGUCUGGAGCUCAGUUUCCCCACCUGUAAACUGGGGAUGAUAACAUGACCUAUCUCAUCGUUGUGCGGACAAAGCGAGAAUUAUAUAUGAUGUGUCUGGCGUAUUGCAAUUAUAAUAAUAAUAGAAACAGAAAAGUACAUGGAAACGACCCAACAGUCCCCCGUAUCAACAAUGGGGGACACCUCAGAGUCUCCGUUUCUCAUGUGGAGAAGAAAUAUCUUAUACGCUUUCAAGGGGGCAGAUUGUAGAAAAACACAGAACCCGGUCAGACAGACUGGUUUGAGCCGUAGUUCUACCACACCGUGCUUGGCCCUGGGCAAGUCACUUUACUUCCACGGGCCUCAGUUUCCCCAUCUGCCAAAGCGGGUUGUGAUCCCUCACGGGGUUGCCAGGAGGCUCAGAAACACCGAGUGGGACAUGCCUGGUCUCAGGAUGAUCACGGGUUCUCCAGAAGCGCCAGUUCUCUAUCAAAUCCCCACUCCUCUCCCCUGCUUGGACACAGCCACUCCCCAGAAGGCAGGGUCUCGCUUUCUGUCCCCGGAGUCCCAGCAGAGAAAGGAGGCCUGUGGGAAGGGCCAGCGGCCUCCAGACGGCUGAGAGUGAGUCUCUGGGCUUGCCGGUGUGGAGCACUGUUUCUCUGUAGAAGGGCAUCGACGCGCUCGGCUUGUCCAGUGCACGGGCCGGCCAACUCUCCCUGGAAAGGGCUCGAUGGUGCAUCUUGUCCUCUCUGGAGGCCCGAUGAUCUCUGCUGCACCCCCUCACCUCUGCCACUCCUGCAGAGAUGAGUGGACACAAAUGGUGUAACUGGACCCCUGGAACACGAUGGACAAAGCCCAGCUGCAGGCCAGCUUUGACUCACGGACCACCGUUGGUCUAUACAGUGGUUUGAUCCCUUGUCCGGGUCUAGCACUAGUUUCUCUUAUGAGCCAGGGAGGUCCUGAGGUCUGAGAUGAAAGUGAGAUGAAGGGUCCACUUCGUUUCUUGGAGCAUGUCAGGCUCCCUCCUGUCUCAGGGUCUUGGUCUGGUGUUCCUUCCACCUGAAAUGCCCUUCCUUGCCCUCUUCACCUAAAAAGAAGCUACUCAUCCUUCAGAUCCCAGCUCAGACCUGCCUUCCUCAGGGAAGGCUUUCUUGACAGCCUGCUUCUCCCACCCCGAUCUCCCUCGGAGCCUGCAGAGUUUGGGAUUUGGAAGCAUCACCUCCUGCACUCGACGGAGGAGACGAGGAGGAGGAGGGAAUUGGCUAAGAAGCUUCGGGCUCAGAUGGCCUUUGCUUGGGCCACUACCCAUCCGGGGUGCUGCAUUCCAGAGGGGAGCCCUCCAGCCCCACAUUCCCGCCUCUUCUGAAGAGGUGGGCACCCCCUCAUCCUGGACACACGGUUCUGGACCAGACCAGCGUGGGCUGGGAUCCGUUACCAACCCUUUCCUGCGUGGCUGGGGGCAGCUUCUUUCAUUUCCCUGAGCUUCACUUCUUCCUCUGCACAAUGGAGGUGGCGGUGUCCAUCCUCCGGGACUGGUGAGAAGAUGCAGUGGAACACCGAGAGUCGCGGGAUCUCGGAAAAUGCUGCUACGGAGCCUUCCUCAUAUGACUAUGAUCACACUUACCACAAGGAGGGAUUAUCUUCUGCCUCCCCUGCCCAGCCAUGGGCCCCUUGGGAGUAAAGACUGUGUCUUAGACAUACGGCCACCCCCCCCCGCCCGGUCCAGGGGCACCUCCCACCUCAGGGCUCAUGAUUAGCGCCCCCUGGAGGUGUGCAGAGUGCAGGCAGCUCUGCUCACUGCUGAAUCCCCGCCCCUCGCCUGGGGCCUAGCCGGUGUUUCCCUCCUCAUUCACCCGUGACUCAUUCAUGCAUACAUUCCUUCAUUCAUUCCUGCACAAAUAUUUGUGGAGCAGAAGCAGACAUUUCCCCGCCCAUAAAGCAGACAUUGGAGGGGGAUGACAAGAUGACUCCUUCUUGCUCUACAUGCAAUGGUUUGGGGGAGACUGAGAAAAGCCCCCCCCUUUUCUCUGAAAGUGAUGUUCUUAUCUGAUGCCUGACAGUCCUCCUGAAGGCAGAAGCCCUGGCAGUCCCCAGUCACGAGGACCAGGACACUUGCCGGGGUGGGGGCGUUGUUUAAGAGCAGUAGCCGCGGGGGAGAGGAGCGAGCCCCCGGGGUGCAGCGGGGGACGGAGAGGCAGAGCCUGGGGCAGAGGGAUGUACAACUGGGCCCCAAACUGACCCUGGAGUCACCUUUAGAGUAAUCACCAGUGUGUGAGCCAUACGCUGUCCGGAAUGCUUACAGAUUCAUCCUCCUGGCCAGCCUAAGAGGCGGGUCCUGUGAUUACCCCCGGCUUACAGAGGAGGAAACCGAGGCCCAGAGAGGUGCCCCCAGAGGGUUCGUGGGGAGCCGGGCCACCAGCCCAGAGAGCCCAACUACAAAACGGCCCGUGCUUUUCAACCUGUUUGCUGAAUGACCUCUUGCCUCAGUUUCUCCACCUGUCAAGUGGGCCUUUCACGACCCUCCCUACAGACCCAACCAGGGGGUUGAGAGAAGUGUGGGGCUCCUCUGGAUGCUGAGAGCAGUUGAGGGGGGUGCCGGGGCCGUGAGCAAAGUGGGAAGGCCCAGGCUGUGGCAUCAGGCUUCCCAGCUGGGGGAGGGGGACAGCCGGUCACCCUCUGGCAACUUCUCCUGGCUCAUCUGCCAAACGGGGGUGACGCGUUGCGCCGACCGCCUGGGCUGCCUGGGGCCACGGCAGAGCUGUGUGUGUGUGUGUGUGUGUGUGUGUGUGUGUGUGUGCCAGCCCGUGGCCAGCCACCAGGCCCGCGUCCACAGGAGGUGCCGGCCGGGCACAUGGUGAGAGGCAAGUCUGCUUUGCCCCCGUGGUCUCCAGAAGUCGCGCAGAAAUGACAACCCCAAAGAACUCCAUAAAAUCCAAGUGGCAGUUACGGCGGACUUCUGAGUGAACAGGAGUAAUUAGCGCACUUCCCACAGAAAGUAAAACCCAAAUGUCAGGCAAUGCCAGGGCCAUUAAGGUGUCCUCUGCUCCAGCUCCCGCCCACCACUGGCUGGGCCUGCACCUCACUGCUGACCUUCUCAAAGACCACAGACAGCACAGCAGGAGGCUGCCCAGGCCCGAAGACAGGCCUGGGCGACGCGGGGGGGGCUUCACAUUCUGCUCAGCUCCGGUACCGACGGAGCCUCAUCUUUGACAUCUGUGAAAUGGGUUAUAUCUGCUCCAGGGGGAAUUAGAUUUGAUCAUGGGUCUAGAAUAUCAGGCACAGGGUAGCCACUCUCUGUGAAGUAGGUGCCACGAGGGCAAAUAGUGCCCCCAAAGCAGCAGGUGUAGCAGAUGCGACCAGCACCCUACCCAAAUCACCUUUGACCAGUGCGCAACCCCACCACCUGACCCCCACCGUUGGGCUGGCUGCUCAAGGCUCUCGGCUCCUUCCAACUCCAGAGGCAUGACCUCUGCCAAUGGGAGCUGGCCCCUGAGUGGGGGUUUUUCCAGGGCAGCCCACAGCCAAUUACUGGUUGAUACAAGGGUAAGAAAGUCAGCCCUUUGCUUCGAGAGCAGGGGGCAACUCUGUGGCACCUUUCAUGCUGCAGAGCUUCCUGGGGGAUCGGGCUGCAGCCAGACUCUAGUGCAAACCACACCUUUGUCCAGCUUCUUCCUCUGCUGUCCCCCCGGGUUCCCUCCCCUCUCGAUGGUGUCUCCUGCCUAUCCUCCUGCAAGAAAACACUCCCUGUGAAUCCCCUAGAAAGGGUGUUGUCUCUUGAGAUCAUAGGUGUUCAAUCAGACAUGUUGAAUCAAUAAAUAUAUUGUCUGUUAUUUUAAAAAAAUAAAAAAAAAAAAAAAAACAGGACCAGGACUAGGGCAGGGCAAGUGAGGAGCCUAGGACAUAAACUGUAGGUGCUCACACUUAGAGUUGUGCAGAUGCCCAGUGCCGCUAAAAAACUGGAAACCAGUUACAGUGAUCAAAUCAAGAACGAGCUAUUUAGGUCACGGGACAUCCCAAAACGGGGUGGAAGGUCAUGGUUGUGAAAUGGAUUCUUGACCCGGACGGAGUUCAAAUCCUGACUCUGUUGCAUCAUUGACUGUGACUUUGGGUAAGUCACCACACCUCUCUGAACCUGGGUUCUCUCUGCUCUAACAUGUGCAUGAUAAUACCUCCCUCAGAGCACUGUGGGAGGAUCUGAUGAGGUUGUGUUCAUGUACUUCGCACAGAGUACAUGCUCAGGAAAGAGUAGCCAUUGUGAUAACCUUUGGAAGUACUUAGAGCAGUUUUUGGAGAUGCCAGAGGUGGAAUGUCUCGUUCCCAGAUCUCCACUGCACCUGUUGAUUCUGCUUGCCACGUACUGCAUAGUAGAAUCAAUGAUCAGUUUUUAAUGAUGUGUACUUUCCCUCUGCUUACCAAUGGGCAGCCGAAUCAAUGUCUCAAGGAUCUUUGGAUCAAAAUCAUGAUGAAAUGAGGUGUGCAUAACACACCCCCUUCCAUGAACUGGCCCAAGCAGCUAAAAGGACGACCACAACAAAUGCCAUAGAAUCAGUACCCCCGCCAGAGGUGUGAUGACAAAGCAUGGGCUUUGGGGACCCCAUCUGGGCGUGUGUGGUUCCACUACCCACUCUGUGGCCUGAAGCCCAUUGUGUGGCCUUUCUCAGCCUCAGUUUAUGUGUCUGCGAAAUGGGUGUGCCCUGUGUGAAGGAAAAUCCAAGGAGAUGAAGAUCUUUUCUAUCUUAUUUUUCCUAUUUUCUAUUUUCUUUUUGGGGAUCCAGCUCUGAUUUAUACCUUUCCCACAUCCCUUCUUCUCUGGUAAAUGCAUCACAUCCCACCCCUCCAGGUCCAUAGAGCUUGGGUAAGGCUGAUUCACCUUCAGGUCCAAAAGUGAUCACCUAACUCAGUGCCAAAGUAGUCCAUCCCCCUGGCCCCACUGAUUGGUCCAGGAUGAGCCUGUGGCCUAGAUUUGGCCAAUCAGGACAUUUCAGGCCCCUGGUCCCACUGAUUGGCCCAGGCUGAGCCUGUGGCCCAGAUUUGGCCAAUCAGGACAUUUCAGGCCCCUGGUCCCACUGAUUGGCCCAGGCUGAGCCUGUGGCCCAGAUUUGGCCAAUCAGGACAUUACAGCCCCCUAGCCAUACUGAUUGGUUCAGGGAUGGGCACAUGACCAAGUUGGUCCAGUUGGAGCUAAUCCAGGGGUAUUUUUCUAGAGUCUCUCAUUAUUCCUAGACUGCUAACAGUGAGGAGGUGAGUAAGGGACUUCCAGGGACUAUCAUGAAUGAUGCCAACACCCAGGAAGCAGGAUCAGGGACAGAGACACACACCAGGCUCUGAUGACAUUGUUUGAGCCCCUGGAUCUAGCUGAGCCUGAAGCCAUAUAUCUAGUCCUGGAUUUUUGUUCCAUGAGACAAGAAAUUUCCUCUUUUGCUUAAGUCAGUGGGUUUAGCUUUCUACCAUUGCAGUCUAAAAAGCUCUGUCUGACACAAAUAUCAGGCCCGUUUGCAUUAUUUUUUUCCCAGGGGAAGAUUUCCUUGUAUCCCCACAUGAUGUCACUUCUAAGCAACAGUGUGGAA